rnacentral:rRNA from 1 species
UACGUAGGGUGCAAGCGUUGUCCGGAAUUAUUGGGCGUAAAGAGCUCGUAGGCGGUCUGUCGCGUCUGCUGUGAAAACUCAGGGCUUAACCCUGAGCUUGCAGUGGGUACGGGGCAGACUAGAGUGCGGUAGGGGAGACUGGAAUUCCUGGGUGUAGCGGUGAAAUGCGCAGAUAUCAGGAGGAACACCGGUGGGCGAAGGCGGGGUCUC